rnacentral:rRNA from 1 species
GAUGAACGCUGGCGGCGUGCCUAAUACAUGCAAGUCGAGCGAACGGACGAGAAGCUUGCUUCUCUGAUGUUAGCGGCGGACGGGUGAGUAACACGUGGAUAACCUACCUAUAAGACUGGGAUAACUUCGGGAAACCGGAGCUAAUACCGGAUAAUAUUUUGAACCGCAUGGUUCAAAAGUGAAAGACGGUCUUGCUGUCACUUAUAGAUGGAUCCGCGCUGCAUUAGCUAGUUGGUAAGGUAACGGCUUACCAAGGCAACGAUGCAUAGCCGACCUGAGAGGGUGAUCGGCCACACUGGAACUGAGACACGGUCCAGACUCCUACGGGAGGCAGCGGUAGGGAAUCUUCCGCAAUGGGCGAAAGCCUGACGGAGCAACGCCGCGUGAGUGAUGAAGGUCUUCGGAUCGUAAAACUCUGUUAUUAGGGAAGAACAUAUGUGUAAGUAACUGUGCACAUCUUGACGGUACCUAAUCGGAAAGCCACGGCUAACUACGUG